GUGGCUCCCCCCACUUGCAGCAGCCUCGCUGGGUCCCAGUCUCAGAGCAGCUCCUCCAUCUCUUCCCACCACCCAGCAUCCAGCCGGCGUUCACCAUGCGGGGCCUCUGCUUCGUGCUCCUGACCUGCUUCAUCCUCUUUCCUCACUUUGCCACAGCCCAGGUCCAGGAUGUAGACUCAGAGAAGGAGUGCUAUAAAAGAGAGGCCGAGUGUAAAUGGUUUUACUGCCCAGAAAAUCAUCACCAUCUUGGUACCUGUUGGUUUGGGAUAAAGAAAUGCUGUCUGCGCUGGGAAUGAGCUGAAGAACAUGGGAGGACAAGGAGCCCGGAGAAUGAAAUAAAGGCCUGACUGUAACUCUGAAA